AGCAGUCGCCGCGGUAAUACGUAUGUCACAAGCGUUAUCCGGAUUUAUUGGGCGUAAAGCGCGUCUAGGUGGUUAUGUAAGUCUGAUGUGAAAAUGCAGGGCUCAACUCUGUAUUGCGUUGGAAACUGUGUAACUAGAGUACUGGAGAGGUAAGCGGAACUACAAGUGUAGAGGUGAAAUUCGUAGAUAUUUGUAGGAAUGCCGAUGGGGAAGCCAGCUUACUGGACAGAUACUGACGCUAAAGCGCGAAAGCGUGGGUAGCAAACAGGAUUAGAUACCCCUGUAGUCCCUGUCUCUUAUACA
rnacentral:rRNA from 1 species